GUAGGGAAUAUUGGGCAAUGGGCGAGAGCCUGACCCAGCCAUGCCGCGUGCAGGAUGAAGGCUUUCUGAGUCGUAAACUGCUUUUGCCAGGGAAGAAAAAAGGGGAUGCGUCCUCUACUGACGGUACCUGGUGAAUAAGCACCGGCUAACUCCGUGCCAGCAGCCGCGGUAAUACGGAGGGUGCGAGCGUUGUCCGGAUUUAUUGGGUUUAAAGGGUGCGUAGGCGGCUCUGUAAGUCUGGGGUGAAAGCCCGUUGCUCAACAACGGAACUGCCCUGGAAACUGCCGAGCUUGAGUACAGACGAGGGUGGCGGAAUGGAUACUGUAGCGGUGAAAUGCAUAGAUAGUAUCCAGAACCCCGAUUGCGAAGGCAGCUGCCUAGACUGUAACUGACGCUGAGGCACGAAAGCGUGGGGAGCGAACAGGAUUAGAAACCCUAGUAGUCC
rnacentral:rRNA from 1 species